UGGGGGAAAGGGUUUUUGUGUUAAUAGCACCAGCAUUUGGACGUUUACUUGCAGAAGAAGCCCCCGGCUAACUUCGGUGCCGGCAGCCCGCGGUAAUACGGAGGGUGCAAGCGUUAAUCGGAAUUACUGGGCGUAAAGCGCACGCAGGCGGCUUUUUAAGUCGGAUGUGAAAGCCCCGGGCUCAACCUGGGAAUUGCAUUCGAUACUGGAAAGCUAGAGUAUGUGAGAGGGGGGUAGAAUUCCAAGUGUAGCGGUGAAAUGCGUAGAGAUUUGGAGGAAUACCAGUGGCGAAGGCGGCCCCCUGGCACAAUACUGACGCUCAGGUGCGAAAGCGUGGGGAGCAAACAGGAUUAGAUACCCUGGUAGUCCACGCCGUAAACGAUGUCUACUAGAUGUUCGUGGUCUUGUACCGUGAGUAUCGCAGCUAACGCAUUAAGUAGACCGCCUGGGGAGUACGGUCGCAAGAUUAAAACUCAAAUGAAUUGACGGGGGCCCGCACAAGCGGUGGAGCAUGUGGUUUAAUUCGACGCAACGCGAAGAACCUUACCUACUCUUGACAUCUAGGGAAGAUUGUAGAGAUGCGAAUGUGCCUUCGGGAACGGUAAGACAGGUGCUGCAUGGCUGUCGUCAGCUCGUGUUGUGAAAUGUUGGGUUAAGUCCCGCAACGAGCGCAACCCUUAUCCUUAGUUGCCAGCACGUAAUGGUGGGAACUCUAGGGAGACUGCCGGUGAUAAACCGGAGGAAGGUGGGGACGACGUCAAGUCAUCAUGGCCCUUACGAGUAGGGCUACACACGUGCUACAAUGGUACGUACAGAGGGAGGCAAGCUGGCGACAGUGAGCGGAUCUCAUAAAGCGUAUCGUAGUCCGGAUUGGAGUCUGCAACUCGACUCCAUGAAGUCGGAAUCGCUAGUAAUCGUGAAUCAGAAUGUCACGGUGAAUACGUCCCUAGGCCUUGUACACACCCCCCGUCACGCCACGGGAGUGGCAGUAAAAUAAAUCAGUACUCUAAGAAGUCGGAACGACGUAACCCCGUAGAGUUUUCCCCCC
rnacentral:rRNA from 1 species